UGACCGACAGCUGUCAGCUUUUCAAAACAGAGAAAUGACUCCUCAGUUCUGUCAUUGGCCUACAUCGAUGGCAGGAAGAGCCCCGAACGGGAUGCUCACAAAACCCAGGCGAAAACUUUGCUAAAAUGUGAGUUAUGAACUGGGUGGCCAGCUUCUGGCCAUCGGAGGGGGCAGUUCCAUAAUCUGAGCCCCGCUCUAGAGCCGGGGGAGAGCGGGGGGAGGGGGUUGGCCCUGGGGAGAGAUGGCCGAGCCAGCCUUUCCUCCCAGCUCCUCAGGCACCAAAUCCUCUCUGAGACCGUUUGCUUUGCUCAAGGCUGUUUUGUUUCAUUUCCCACUUUCCACUUCAGCGCCAAGGUCAAGGGACCCUAACAUGAAGAUGGCUACGAAGCCUUUCAGCGAGCCUUCCAGAACUCAGCCUUCCUCACCAGACAAAACAGCAGUUUCCCUUAAGAUACGACUGGCCACUGUCUCCUUUUCUUUUUGGAAAGAGGAGAUGACAGCAGGCCUCCCUCACAGCGCCCAGGAGACCACCAGACCAUGCUGGAUCAGACCGGUCCCAGGGGCUGGCCAGGCACAGACAGCCAACAGAUGGACCGCGACUGGCCCCGCCGGGUGGCGGAACCAAAAUCCGCCUCUAGCCGGAACCUCGGUGCGCAGACCCAGCCUCGCAGACAGUGCUCAGGGGCGAGGGGUGCCGGGCGCCUGGAUCCCGCCGGCCAGACCCUGCCGCUCGGAAUUCUUUGUGCUUUCUCCCACCUUCCCCGUCCUACCUUAGGUGGCUAAGUUCCGAGACUGCCCCAUCGAGACUCCUGAAAGAGUAGACUGGGGUCAUCAGGGCAGAAAUGUGGACACGGAGAAGGCCACGUGAACGCAAAGGACGGUCACAUGCACAGCUGCCCUGUUAUUUACGCCGUGUGUCAGUAUAGGACGUGCAUCACGGUGGAUGAGCCGGCGCUGCAUGUUGCUCUUGACCAACGUCUGUGAUUCACGUCAGGGUUCGCUCUCGACGUCGUACAUUCUGUGGGUUGUGUCCGGUGUUCGAAGAGACCACUACAGUGUCCUACACGAUCGUUCCACUGCCCUUAAAACCCUCUGUGCUCCUCCCAGUCAGCCUUCUCUCCUGCAACUGCGAAAGCACGGAAUUUUUAAACUGUCUCCAUCGUGUUUUCUUUCCAGAACGUCAUAGAGCUGGAAUCACAUCAGCUUGCUUCACUGAGUAACAGGCAUUCGAGGUUCCUACACAUCUUUUCACACUUUGAUAGCUCAUCUCUUUUUAGCACCGAAUCCCAUCCCGUUGUCUGGAUGGACCACAGUUUACUAUUCAUCACCGACUGUCAGACAUCUUGGUCGCUUCCAAGUGUUGAUAAUUAAAAACGCAGCUGCUGUAAACAUCCAGGUG